rnacentral:rRNA from 1 species
GGGGAAUAUUGCGCAAUGGAGGAAACUCUGACGCAGUGACGCCGCGUAUAGGAAGAAGGUUUUCGGAUUGUAAACUAUUGUCGUGAGGGAAGAAAUUGACAGUACCUCAGGAGGAAGCUCCGGCUAACUAUGUGCCAGCCGCCGCGGUAAUACAUAGGGAGCAAGCGUUAUCCGGAAUUAUUGGGUGUAAAGGGUGCGUAGACGGGAAAUUAAGUUAGUUGUGAAGUCCCUCGGCUUAACUGAGGAACUGCAACUAAAACUAACUUUCUUGAGUGCUGGAGAGGAAAGUGGAAUUCCUAGUGUAGCGGUGAAAUGCGUAGAUAUUAGGAGGAACACCAGUGGCGAAGGCGACUUUCUGGACAGUAACUGACGUUGAGGCACGAAAGUGUGGGGAGCAAACAGG